UUUACUCAGACAUGUCAAGUUUUGUUUUGGUUUAUUCGUCCUUUUCUUUUGGCCCUUCGCAAGGUUUUAACUUGUUUAUUGGCCGUUUUAAUUAUUAUAAUAUCAAUAAUAAUAACAGGUAACAAUUCGUUUAUUUUGAAUGUUGGGGAGUGUAAAUAGUGAAACUGCUACCUAUUUAUUAAAAGAAAACGGAAUAUGCAUUCAAGACAUACAAUUCUUUCUUUAAACAAGUUUUCGAGAAUGAGGAAACUAACUCAGAGGUGACAGUCAGUACAUCCGGAUCGAUUUGGAACUAUUCUCAUAAAAUAAAUGAUAUACAAGUCCACUAACUACCGGGAAAUUAUGUUUUUGUUCGUUUAUAAAUCAUCUUGGAAGCAUUCAACUAAACAAUGUUUUCAUUCAUCGGCACAACUUAAAAUGAUAUGAAGCUGAUGGCUAAUAAUGUUGGAUUCAAUGGGAAUCAAUAAAGUUAAAUACGUUGAUUCAAAAUACCAGAAGGAAUUCACUGUCAUUCAAAUAGCUAAAUUAGUAGUUACUGAGAAUGUUCACGAUCUUAUUCCGGAAAAAAAUUACCAUAUGCUGUGAUAACGAUUUGCUGUUAAUAAAAACUCGUGCCGAUUAUCUUUCAUAGGAAAACGUUGCAUAUAUUUAUACAAGAAAAAUAUUAAACAUAUUGAGUAAAGUUACAAUGCAUUAAGAUCUUCUAACUCUUCUUCGUGAAAAACAUCCAAAUCUGCCUCAAAGUGAUCGAGUUUUUAAAAUUUGCCUUCAUCCUCGUUUUUUCGGAUUUAGCUUCUGGUAGUGGCAACGGUUCUAAGGUUAUUGGACCAGGAAGUAUAACAAAUCCCGAGUUAGAUUUGUAUAAGGACAUUUGAGACCAGCUUUAAUCUAAUAAUAUCAUACUUGUACAAUAGAUUUUCAUUAAACGUGCAAUAUUGAAAGCA